AAAUGCGAUAAGUAAUGUGAAUUGCAGAAUUCAGUGAAUCAUCGAAUCUUUGAACGCACUUUGCGCUCCUUGGUAUUCCUUGGAGCAUGCCUGUUUGAGUAUCAUGAAAUCUUCAAAGUAAAUCUUUUGUUAACUCAAUUGGUUUCUACUUUGGUAUUGGAGGUCUUUGCAGCUUCACACCUGCUCCUCUUUGUUCAUUAGCUGGAUCUCAGUGUUAUGCUUGGUUCCACUCGGCGUGAUAAGUUAUCUAUCGCUGAGGACACUGUAAAAGGUGGCCAAGGUAAAUGCAGAUGAACCGCUUCUAAUAGUCCAUUGACUUGGACAAUACUUUUAUGAUCCGAUCUCAAAUCAGGUAGGACUACCCGCUGAACUUAAGC
rnacentral:misc_RNA from 1 species